AAGAAGCUGCCGCGCGUGCGCGCCACGGAGCCUGGUGCUGGGACCCAGAGGCACCCUCGGCGCCGGAAGACGCGAACGACCCGGGCCGCGGUGGCGAGACGGGGCCGCGCGCCGCCUGGGGGGCUGGUGUGAGACCCGAGGCUCCGAUGGGAGGAGGUCUGGUCUGUCCACGGGGCCAGCAAAACACCUUCAUCCCAAUUUCAUCGCAUUCCUUCUAAGUAUCCGAAUUUGAAGAAAAAGCAAAACUGUUGAGUGGUCAGAUGGCCCCCACCUGGCGUUGCCGAUGAGGAAUCUGAGGCUGAGAGAGAAUAACCACUUGUCCAGGGUCAUAGAACUGAAAUAGGUUACGCCAUGUUGCCGAG
rnacentral:lncRNA from 10 species